GGGUAAUAAAGUUAAAACUGUUUAAAUUUUACAUUAAACUGAAAUAAAUGAGUAAUUUACAGGUUGACAAGUCGACAGGUUGACAAUUUUAAAAACGUUAUGGUUGGAAUAAGUGGUUGACAGGUUGACAAGUCGACAGGUUGACAAUUUUAAAAAUGUUAUGGUUGAAAUAAGUGGUUGACAGGUUGACAAGUCGACAGGUUGACAGAUUGAUAAGUUGAUAAUUUAAUAUAAUAACAAGUAAGUUAUGGUUGACAAGUCGACAGGUUGAAAAGUUGACAAAAUGACAGGUUGACAAGUUGACAAAAUGACAGAUUGACAACUUCAGAGCAUUUAUAAAGUGUAAAAUAGUAUUAUUAGUGACUGGUAGACAGAUCGACAAGUCGACAAGUUGACAAUUUCAUUUUGAGAAAUGUAAAAUGUACAAAUGGUAAACAGAUAGACAGCGAACAGAUAUAAAAGUUACAAGUCAAUACUUGUAAAAAAGAUUAAAAACUGAAGUUAAUUUUAUUUUACUUAAUUGAUGAUGUACUUUUAUUUACUUGUUUAAUUGUAAAAUUAAACCCUUCAACCUGUCUACCUGUCGACCUUAACAUUUGUCAACCUGUCAACUUGUCGACCUUAACAUUUGUCAACCUGUCAACCUGUCGACCUUAACACUGAACAAACUGUCAACCUGUCGACCUGUCGACCUUAACACUUGUCAACCUGUCAACUUUUAAACUUGUCGACCUUUAAAGUGUCAACCUGUCGACCUGUCAAUUUAUGUUCAUAUAAACCGAUUUACUUCUAAAGUUAAACCGAUUUAUUACUCUGUUCUUCCGAAGGAACUACAGUACCGUUUAUCCUACUUGACCC
rnacentral:lncRNA from 1 species